AGUUCAAUUGCUGCGUCAUAUGGUAGGUAUAUGUUUAACUUUAUAAGAAACUGCCAAACUAUUUUCCAGAGUGCCUGUACCAUUUUACAUUCCCAUCAGCAAU
rnacentral:pre_miRNA from 1 species